rnacentral:rRNA from 1 species
AUACGUAGGUGGCAAGCGUUGUCCGGAAUUACUGGGUGUAAAGGGCGUGUAGGCGGGGCUUUAAGUCAGAUGUGAAAUACCCGGGCUUAACUCGGGAACUGCAUUUGAAACUGAGGCUCUUGAGUGGUGGAGAGGAAAGCGGAAUUCCUAGUGUAGCGGUGAAAUGCGUAGAUAUUAGGAGGAACACCAGUGGCGAAGGCGGCCUUCUGGACACUAACUGACGCUGAGGCGCGAAAGCAUGGGGAGCAAACAGGAUUAGAUACCCUGGUAGUCCAUGCUGUAAACGAUGGAUACUAGGUGUGGGGAGUAUUGACCCUCUCCGUGCCGCAGUUAACACAAUAAGUAUCCCACCUGGGGAGUACGGCCGCAAGGUUGAA